AAGUCGUAACAAGGUUUCCGUAGGUGAACCUGCGGAAGGAUCAUUACCAAAUCCAAAUUUCCUUAACCCCGUGUGAACUAUUAUUUUAGUCUGUCUUUGGGAAAAAUUAAAUCAAAAAUUUUGAUGAUCAUUUCUUCAAAACUCUUUGUUUUAGUUUUUCCCGAAAGAGUCCGGCAAAUUCAUUUUUGUUUUCGGAUUUUCUUUCAAAAAAACCUUUUUUUAAACCACUUGAUUCGUUGGAAUUUAAUCUUUUAUAAUUUUUAAUAAAAGACAACUUUUAACGGCGGAUCUCUUGGCUCGUG
rnacentral:misc_RNA from 1 species